rnacentral:lncRNA from 1 species
GUGCCUCCCCCUGUGGGACCCUCACGGCCGGACCCCCGGACACAGGACCCCGGGGAGGUCAGGCCAGGACGGAGGGAGCAGCUGCCCUGCAGGGCCCGGGAGGAGGCCGGGUGGGUUCCAGGGCCUGAUGAUGGAGUGGGCACCGCCACGCCUGCUCUCCACUCUUCUUUCCCACGACCCUGUGGUGGAGCCGCUGUGGCUUUCUCUAUUAGAUGUUCCAGGUGUCAGCGUCACGACCUGAGGUCUGCACGCGCUGCAGCGCCGUCACCCCGCAAGCCUGGCCGCCACCCUCUCUAUCCGACCAACCCUCACCCACGUCCAGCGCCAGGUUCCACAGGUUUCAUCAGGAAAAGCCAAAAAGAGAACCAAGCCUUCAGCUCCUCCCAGAAAAGGGGGCCCUGCCCAGGGAACUCGGAGAAAAACAAGAAAAAUGGCCAAUGUAGCAGAAAAAGACCCAAAAGUCCCCUCCUCCACUGUUCAUGUGUUUCCGGUCCGGGCGGGACCAGCCAGAGAG